AGCUCCAACAGGAAGGGCAAGCCGAGCACACUGGCUUCUGGCUUGCUUUCUCCAACAGCACCAGCCAUAUAAUCUCGAUCUUUGGGAAAUACCUCCUGCCCUCGGAGAGGACGGACAUCAUCCUCACGGCCAUUGAGGGCAUGAGAGACUCCAGCAUCUUCGACCUGCAGGCAGCUACCAGCAUGCUGGAUGUGGUCCUGAUGGAGCCCACCUCCUGGCUGAAGAACGUGCCCAAGAUCGUGAGGUGCAUCUAUGAAAACCUGAGGUGCAUCAGCACGGGGUCAGCGCGGCACAGCCUGGAUAUACUC